rnacentral:rRNA from 1 species
GAUGAACGCUGGCGGCGUGCCUAAUACAUGCAAGUCGAGCGAACGGACGAGAAGCUUGCUUCUCUGAUGUUAGCGGCGGACGGGUGAGUAACACGUGGAUAACCUACCUAUAAGACUGGGAUAACUUCGGGAAACCGGAGCUAAUACCGGAUAAUAUUUUGAACCGCAUGGUUCAAAAGUGAAAGACGGUCUUGCUGUCACUUAUAGAUGGAUCCGCGCUGCAUUAGCUAGUUGGUAAGGUAACGGCUUACCAAGGCAACGAUGCAUAGCCGACCUGAGAGGGUGAUCGGCCACACUGGAACUGAGACACGGUCCAGACUCCUACGGGAGGCAGCAGUAGGGAAUCUUCCGCAAUGGGCGAAAGCCUGACGGAGCAACGCCGCGUGAGUGAUGAAGGUCUUCGGAUCGUAAAACUCUGUUAUUAGGGAAGAACAUAUGUGUAAGUAACUGUGCACAUCUUGACGGUACCUAAUCAGAAAGCCACGGCUAACUACGUGCCAGCAGCCGCGGUAAUACGUAGGUGGCAAGCGUUAUCCGGAAUUAUUGGGCGCAAAGCGCGCGUAGGCGGUUUUUUAAGUCUGAUGUGAAAGCCCACGGCUCAACCGUGGAGGGUCAUUGGAAACUGGAAAACUUGAGUGCAGAAGAGGAAAGUGGAAUUCCAUGUGUAGCGGUGAAAUGCGCAGAGAUAUGGAGGAACACCAGUGGCGAAGGCGACUUUCUGGUCUGUAACUGACGCUGAUGUGCGAAAGCGUGGGGAUCAAACAGGAUUAGAUACCCUGGUAGUCCACGCCGUAAACGAUGAGUGCUAAGUGUUAGGGGGUUUCCGCCCCUUAGUGCUGCAGCUAACGCAUUAAGCACUCCGCCUGGGGAGUACGACCGCAAGGUUGAAACUCAAAGGAAUUGACGGGGACCCGCACAAGCGGUGGAGCAUGUGGUUUAAUUCGAAGCAACGCGAAGAACCUUACCAAAUCUUGACAUCCUUUGACAACUCUAGAGAUAGAGCCUUCCCCUUCGGGGGACAAAGUGACAGGUGGUGCAUGGUUGUCGUCAGCUCGUGUCGUGAGAUGUUGGGUUAAGUCCCGCAACGAGCGCAACCCUUAAGCUUAGUUGCCAUCAUUAAGUUGGGCACUCUAAGUUGACUGCCGGUGACAAACCGGAGGAAGGUGGGGAUGACGUCAAAUCAUCAUGCCCCUUAUGAUUUGGGCUACACACGUGCUACAAUGGACAAUACAAAGGGCAGCGAAACCGCGAGGUCAAGCAAAUCCCAUAAAGUUGUUCUCAGUUCGGAUUGUAGUCUGCAACUCGACUACAUGAAGCUGGAAUCGCUAGUAAUCGUAGAUCAGCAUGCUACGGUGAAUACGUUCCCGGGUCU